rnacentral:rRNA from 1 species
GACGAACGCUGGCGGCGUGCCUAAUACAUGCAAGUUGAGCGAUGAAGAUUGGUGCUUGCACCAAUUUGAAGAGCAGCGAACGGGUGAGUAACGCGUGGGGAAUCUGCCUUUGAGCGGGGGACAACAUUUGGAAACGAAUGCUAAUACCGCAUAAUAACUUUAAACAUAAGUUUUAAGUUUGAAAGAUGCAAUUGCAUCACUCAAAGAUGAUCCCGCGUUGUAUUAGCUAGUUGGUGAGGUAAAGGCUCACCAAGGCGAUGAUACAUAGCCGACCUGAGAGGGUGAUCGGCCACAUUGGGACUGUGACACGGCCCAAACUCCUACGGGAGGCAGCAGUAGGGAAUCUUCGGCAAUGGACGAAAGUCUGACCGAGCAACGCCGCGUGAGUGAAGAAGGUUUUCGGAUCGUAAAACUCUGUUGGUAGAGAAGAACGUUGGUGAGAGUGGAAAGCUCAUCAAGUGACGGUAACUACCCAGAAAGGGACGGCUAACUACGUG